rnacentral:rRNA from 1 species
CCAAUAGCGUAUAUUAAAGUUGUUGCAGUUAAAAAGCUCGUAGUUGAAUUUUGGGGUCUGUCCAUUGGUCGGGCUUCACGGUCCGUACUGGUGAGAUGGGUUCCUACCUUCUGAAUAACUAGCAUGCCAUUUAGUUGGUGCGUUGGGGAAGCAGAGCUAUUACCUUGAAAAAAUUAGAGUGCUUAAAGCAGGCUAGUGCUUGAAUAGAUUAGCAUGGAAUAAUAAAAUAGGACGGCAUGGUUCUAUUUUGUUGGUUUCUAGGAUCACCGUAAUGCUUAAUAGGGAUAUUUGGGGGCGUUAGUAUUCANNUGUCAGAGGUGAAAUUCUUGGAUUUAUUGAANNNUAACUUCUGCGAAAGCAUUUGCCAAGGAUGUUUUCAUUAAUCAAGAACGAAAGUUAGGGGAUCGAAGACGACCAGAUACCGUCGUAGUCUUAACCAUAAACUAUGCCGACUAGGGAUCGGACGAUGUUAAUUUUUUAAUGACUCGUUCGGCGCCUUACG